AACAGAAAUAAUUCUGUUAAGGUUGAUGAAUAACGAGCAAUGACGGUGCUCAGCGCAGGUCCUUGGUGACUUACAUAUAAUCUUUCUUUUUAAUUCUCUCGAGAGCCCAGUAGGGCAGAAGUUGUUUGGGAUAAGUCCAUUUCACAGAUGAGGAGGUGGAAGCCUGGUAGGAUUUGAUUCAGGGAAGUCUACCGGUAAGGAUCUACCUUUGCGGUCAGAACGGGAGGGCUCUGGGACCAUGCUCUCUUGCCGCUUGACUUUACAAACCAAGAGGCUGAGAUCCGGAGAGGGGCCCUUCUCAAUCUGGCAAAGAGUGGCACUGUAGGGCCUAUGACGUCACAGCUGGAGUGGCAUGAACCGAACAGGAUUUUCUGAAGGCAGGAACGCCCCGGAGAGUGAAUCCAGGACAACAGGCUUGACUGCAGACACCCACUGAACCAUCUCGCUGGCCGGGCCGUGACUGCUGGAUCCGAAUCCCUCACCAAGAGGACAGUCCACACGGCCAGUCCUGUCCAAGCUGCUGAGGAUGCAAAGUCCAGAGAGCUCUGGGGGGGAAAUGCAGAGGGCACAGACACUCCGGAAGACAGCCUGUCAGCGUCCCACUAAAUUAACCGCGCUCUUACCUUCUCAGCAACCGUGCUUCCUGGCAUUUUUCACAAAUGAGGUCAAAACGAAAGCCCACAGAAGCCUGCUCGUGAAUGCUUAACAGCACCUUUACUCGUUGUCCAGACUUGGAAGCGAUGGGGGCUUCCAGAGGUUUUGAGCUGGACACAGCUCUUAUCAACCUGUACCCAAGGUUCAAAGGUGAUCUAGAAAUUGAUGUGGCCUUACAGAGAUUCAAACAACCUAAGUCAGCAUGUCACAGCUUCGUCUGUCCCGACUGUCCCUUACAGCGACACUUUGCCACAAGCUGAAGGAAACUUCUGAAGGAAAUCACAUCAUCUGCGGCCUUAAUCAUUUUUAUAUGAUCAAGGAUCAUAUGAAAAUUCUAAUUCAGCCAUAAGAUUUAUUGUCAUCUCAAGACUAAAGCAAAGAAGAAAAAUGGUACGACAGAAACACUCACGGGAAAUCUAGAUAACAGAGUCAUCAGGCUUAGUCUUUUAAAAUGGAGUUUGAUUUCUCCAAGAGAAAAAUGACAAGGCUGGGCGGGAUGGCUCAGUGGGUAAAGGCGCUUGGCACAGAACCUAAGUUCAACCUCUACAAGUAUGCACACAUUCACAUAUAAACUGAAAGUAUAAAGAAAUGACAAACUGAAACGCUUCACUAGAAAACUAAAAUAAACAAGGACUGAAAGCCACAGGCAUAAAAAAAAAUUACUAAAAUUUAAGUGACGAAUGCAGGGAGUGGUUUUAACAGCAGGGUAGACACAGCUGAAGAAAAGCUUAAUGACCUGGAUAGUGGGUCUGUGGGGGCGGAGGGAAUGCGUAAAUUGAAAGAUGAAAAUUAAGAGGAUAGAAUAAGAGAAAAGAAUUAAAAAUGCCUACUAAAACAAUGCGGGAAAACCGUCAGCUGCAGGUGCCUGAAGUCGUAGAAGGAGAGAGAGUGAGGGCAAGCGUGUGGUGACACAAGGCUAGGCGGGGUUUUAAAGCUGGUACAAAUGUCAGGCCACGGACUUCAAGGUACACAGAUACAAAGACAGAUAACAACCCUCCUGAUAGCCUGGGACACCUCCACCCACUGUAAACUUCACUGGCCCAGACUCCUGUACCAGCAUAAAUUGGAUUCCCCCAGACCCCUGGACUCUGAAUAAACUGGAGCCACCGGGGUCCUUGCACCCUGUAGGCUGGACCUUCUCAGACCUUAGACCUUCCCAGACUGUGUACAGACUGGGCCCUCACAGGUCUGUGCAAAUGAUCUGGGUAAGUGGGAGCCAUCCCACCCCCUAUAUAGAGUAAACUUCAGCUGACCAGACCCUUGCACCCAGAGCUACAGCGAACAGAUGCAUUCUGCUUCAGCCUCUCGGGUCUGAAGACCAAGGUUGGCCUGCUGGCACCCUCCUUCCCUCCCUCCCUCCUUCCCUCCCUCCCUCCUUUCCUUCCUCCUUCCCUCCUUCCCUCCUUUCCUUUCCUUCCUUCCUUCUGUCUUCCUAUAACCCUUCCAUCCCUCCUCUUUUUUUGUUUGCGUAUCCACUAGUUCUUGCAAAACUUUUUGAAAGUAGAAAGUACUAGUUAAGAAACCAGAGCCAGAGCCAGUGGUGGUGGUGGCUCAUGUCUUUAAUCCCCGCACUCAGGAGGCAGAGGCAGUUGGAUGGAUCUCUGUGAGUUCAAGGUCAAUCUGGUCUACAAAGUGAGUUCCAGGACAGCCAGGGCUAAAUAGAGAAACCCUGUCUCAAAAAAAAAACCAAAAACCAAACAAACAAACAAACAAGAAACAAAGGAAGGUUGGAAGGAAGGAGAAAAGAGGAAGGAGGAAGGAAGAAAUCAGAAACAGGGAGAUAACUGAUGGGAAUCUGGGAAACUCGAAAGAUGGUUUUUCUUUUCUAUCCUGUCACUUCUACCUGUGAAAACUCAGACUGAGCGUCUUCUGAGAAAAUAGAGAAAUAGUAGCACUGGGGUGGGCCUGCUAGGCUUUCAUAUGGAUGGGAACGAUAUGUCCCAGAUGCACAGAGCAAGCAUGGUGUCUUGGCCAGUGUUAGCAAGCAUGACAUCAUAGCCAACAUCAGUAAGAAUGGUGUCAUGGCUGAAAUUAGCUUUGUUCUUUUUCUGUGCUGACACUGGAAGACAGUGGUCUUUGAAAGGGUAAGAUUCCAAACCUGCAUCCUUCUGAGAUUCCCCAAGCAAGCAAUCUACCUAGCUGACCUCCUUGUUUUCUGCAAAUGUCUGAAAAACAGGAAGGAAAAUGGCUGAAGCUGACAUUUCUCCCAGCUCAGCUGAGAAAAAAGCUGUGAAAACAGGCUGCAUAUGCUUGUGGGCUGAGAGCCAUCAAGGUCAGUUUCUCCUGGAACACAACCCAGAGUUGAUGCUCACCUCAGGAUCUGUGGAGAGAGAGUUCUGAUGAUCUCCUCACAUGAUGUCCUUAACUAAACUUCUUUGGACUAGGGCUGGAGAAGCCUGAGUCUGUUGCAGCCACACUGGGGCGUGUCCAAAGGCUACCCCUAUAGACAGGGCCAGAGUGAAGACUUCUAUUCCUCUAUUAAAGCCAGCUGCUCCUCUCCAAUGCUUACUUUCUCCAAGGCCUACUGUACUGUUGAGCCUUUCAUCCCAUCUAGAGUCCCCAGUGUAUGUAGCUGGUGCUCAUGCAUUUGUUUUGCUGUAUCUGAAUCUUCCUUCCUAGUCCUGGGCUGAGCCCAGAGUACUAAUGACAUCAGCAAGCAAAUGCAUGAAGGGAUGAAAUGACUUACGCAGUGUUUCACCCAGACCCUAUCUGAUGACAAACACUGGCAGCUAGACACGAGGGACAAAGCAAUGAAAAACAGACAAACAAAAAACAAACAAACAAACAAACAAACACCACAUCUCUGUCCUUGCAAAGCUGACAUUCUCAUCAGAAAACAGGCCAACAAACAACAUGGAGACAUCAACAAGAGAUAAAUGUUUGCAUUAAGUGCUCUCUCUAAGUCAGGAAUGGCCUAGAUAAUGAGGCUGAGUUAGCAAGAGGAGUAAUUAGUUAUUUGGGCAUUGCUUUUUGAUGGCAGGUAAGACUCUUCAAAGUCCCUAACAUUUUUGUUGCGCUUUGUACAAAAUUAAAAGGCAUGGUUAUGUCAGGAAAAAGAAGGCUGAUGAGCUCCUAAAACCAGUAAAUAUGA